rnacentral:misc_RNA from 1 species
GAACAUUCCUCACUAACACACUCUCUCUCUCACUCUCUCUCUCAAAAUGUCGUUGAUGGUUGCAACCGGAGUUGCUGCACUGAGCUACCGGAGCCCUUUCACAUUCCGGUCAAGUUCAGACAGCCGGCACAUCAAGUCAGCGUAUCCAACGGUGAAAAUGCAGACGCGCAUACACCGUCUAAUUGAAGAUCAAGGGAUAGUGCUGAUGCCAGGUUGCUACGACUCUCUCUCCGCCGCCAUUGUUCAAAAAACCGGUUUCAGCGCCGGUUUCAUCUCUGGCUACGCUCUCUCCGCAUCGCUUCUCGGAAAACCCGACUUUGGUUUACUCACCCCGCCAGAAAUGGCGGCGACUGCCCGGAUAGUGUGUGCUGCGGUUCCGCUCAUGCCCAUAAUUGCGGAUGCUGAUACUGGCGGUGGCAAUGCUCUCAAUGUUCAGAGGACCAUCAGGGACUUGAUUGCAGCUGGUGCUGCUGGAUGCUUUCUGGAGGAUCAAGCGUGGCCAAAGAAAUGCGGUAAGGCUCAUCUCCUUUUCGUUCAUUUUAGAUUUUAAUGGGUAAGCACGAGAGAAUGAGUUCUAUACAUCGUGUGUCUAUAGGAUGCUAAUUGUCUCUCUUCAUUUGCGCAACUGCAGGGCAUAUGCGUGGCAAACAGGUUAUAGCUGCAGAGGAGCAUGCCACAAAAAUAGCUUCUGCUAGGGAUGCUAUUGGGGAUUCUGACUUCUUCCUUGUGGCUAGGACUGAUGCUCGUGCGACAUCUGCAAAAAAUGGUCUCUCCGAUGCCAUUUCAAGGGCUAAUCUAUACAUGGAGGCAGGAGCUGAUGCUUGCUUUGUGGAAGCGCCAAGGGAUGAUGAUGAGCUUAAGGAGAUUGGACGCAGGACAAAGGGGUAUAGGGUUUGUAAUAUGAUUGAAGGUGGGGUCACACCGUUGCACACACCAGAAGAGCUGAAGGAAAUGGGAUUUCAUUUGAUUGUUCAUCCACUUACUUCCCUGUAUGCCUCAGCCCGUGCACUGGUUGAUGUCCUCAAAACUCUGAAGGAGAAUGGAACUACUAGAGAUCACCUCCACAAAAUGGCUACUUUUGAGGAAUUUAAUCAACUGGUUAAUUUGGAGUCUUGGUUUGAGCUUGAAGCACGAUAUUCAAAUUUCAAGAAUGGAAUUACAGUGAAAAGAUGAUCAGAAAAAGAGCAAUUCUUGAUCGUUGUUCCCAUAAACAUUGUUCAUGUUAGUUCAAAACUUGAGAGUUGGAAGUAAUUUGAGCAUUUCUGGCUUCCGAGUAAAUAUUUGUACUAGAUAGAAGAAUCUGUAAUUGGAGUUCGCAUGUAGGUGUUACGAUUAGCCUUCAACCAUCUCCUUCUUGGAAUUGAAUAAGUUUGUUCUUGUAGUAUAAUUAUUGUUUUCUUCCUUUGUUUUUUUGAUAUUUGAAAAAUUCCUCAGCUUUUAUUUCUCUGGAGUUGCAAUUAUACAUACCCGAUUAUUGAGAGCAUCAUCUAAAUUUGAAAAUCCUUAAACUCUCACCGAGCAAGGUCAUGCAGCUACUUACAUUGUUGGAGGCUCUGUUGGUUGAACUUUUGAUGUCGAUAGUUGGCCCAAAGGCAAACGCUUCAAAGCUGGUGAUACACUUGGUAAGUUUUGUCACAUACUGUUCUUGUUGUGCCCUUUCAAUUCUUGUUCAGAAGUUUUUGUGCGUAAAUACUCAAAACUCGUAUGUAUAUAUUUGCAAUUACUUGCAAGUGUACCAACUGAUGUGAAUAUUAUCAAAUUAUCACCAACCUAGUUGGUAUUGCUAAUUUUUUAUUAGUAGAUUGACUGCUGCAUGUUUUUAUGACACUGUGACUUUGGC